rnacentral:tRNA from 1 species
GUCUAACUCCUGGUUAGCUCAGUUGGUAGAGUGCUUCACUGGAGAUGAAGAGGUCCCUGGUUCGAUACCAGGACCAGACA